rnacentral:tRNA from 1 species
GGUUCAGUGGUGUAGUGGUGUAGCAUACAGUGCCCCGUAUAAGCCCGAGACGCUGGUUUGAAUCCCGCCUGAGCCG